AUUGAACGCUGGCGGCAUGCCUAACACAUGCAAGUCGAACGAGUGGCGGACGGGUGUGUAAUCUAUCGGAAGUGCCCUGUAGCGGGGGAUAACUACUCGACAGUGUGGCUAAUACCGCAUACUCUUGGAUGGCCCAUAUGGGAUUAGCUAGUCGGUGGGGUAAAGGCUCACCAAGGCGACGAUCCGUCGCUGGUUUGAGAGGAAGACCAGCCACACUGGAACUGAGACACGGUCCAGACUCCUACGGGAGGCAGCAGUGGGGAAUAUUGGACAAUGGGGGAAACCCUGAUGCAGCCAUGCCGCGUGUGUGAAGAAGGCCUUCGGGUUGUAAAGAACUUUUAGCGGGGAGGCGGUACCUGCAGAAGAAGCACCGGCUAACUCCGUGCCAGCAGCCGCGGUAAUAC
rnacentral:rRNA from 1 species